rnacentral:rRNA from 1 species
CCCUUAGACGUUCUGGGCCGCACGCGCGCUACACUGACCGGUGCAACAAGCAUCCGUCCUUGGCCGACAGGCCCGGGCAAUCUUUGAACGCCGGUCGUGAUUGGGAUAGAUGAUUGCAAUUUUUCAUCUUCAACGAGGAAUGCCUAGUAAACGCAAGUCAUCAGCUUGCAUUGAUUACGUCCCUGCCCUUUGUACACACCGCCCGUCGCUCCUACCGAUUGAAUGAUCCGAUGAAUAUCAUGGAUUGAGGAUGCAAGUAGGUUCGCCUAUCUUCAUCUUCGAGAAGUGAAGUAAAUCUUAUCAUUUAGAGGAAGGAGAAGUCGUAACA